rnacentral:snoRNA from 1 species
ACUCUCUCAGCUCUGCAAAGUCACACCUGCUCUAACGCGUGUGGCUUUCGUAAUGGGGAGAGAGAGAAAGGAUCUCCUCGGAACCUCGGGUGGGCCUCGUGGUGGCCUCUCUUUGUCCGAGGGGUGCGACACAA